rnacentral:lncRNA from 1 species
UUUAGAAUAUGAUGAGAGUGUCAGAGAUCUGCUCUCUGUCCUGCACUCGGUCUCUGGUCUGAAGGAAUUGGAUCUUGUCUUCAGAUUCAUGACUGUGGAUGGAGCAUCCAGAGUCCUUAACCUCUUUCAGACAAACACCAGUCUGACUGCAUUAGAUUUUGGGGCAGUCGAGCGGCCUGAGAUAAGUAAGGCGAACUUCAAGAAGGACCACAGGAAUGAAUUCUUCAGGUCUCAGUCUGCAGGACAGAUGUCAGAUGACAGUGAUGAAGAUGGCAUGUCCUCACCUCUCAGUGACUGCAGCGAUGAAAUCAACUUGUUUUUGAAGUGCACCAGCUCCAGUCCCAGGACAAAGUCACUGUUCUCAAGCAUAGAGCUCACCCUGUCUGAAAACUCAGAAAAAACUAGCAGUGACUGGAAAAACUUUCUUAAAGCAUAUAUUCAAUGCAAAGGGAUCUCUAUAAUAAGUCCUACAUUUGACGAGACUGUGGAUGCUCUGCUGUUGUCCCUGCACUCAGUGUCUGCUGUGAACAAGGUGCAAUUGACGACCGACAGCCUGACUGAGAACUUGGCUGCAAAGAUCCUCUCUAUGUGUCACACGUGUCCCAGUCUCCAUAACAUCUGUUUGCAGGUGGAGUACAGUAAGAGAUACAGUGAGCUCAAUGUGUGUUCCUCUCUCAGCGUCACCAGAAACACAGACUCCACCUUGACAGUCGACAUUCAGUUGGCCCGUGACAGCAUGACUGAAAUAACUCCAUCAUUCAUUUCAUUCAUAUCACCAUGUUCAGAGAUUCCUAAACUGGAUGGAAGGGAACUCUUUGAAACUCUUGACAUCCUUAAAGGUUUAGAAGAAGGAUGUGAAGAGCAUGAAGAGCUUGUGGGUGAUUUGAUGUCCACCUUGCUCUCCGUUCCUGGUCUGCAGAAGGUCAGACUCAAGAUCAGCAGUCUAACAGAGAACUGGGUGAAGAGGAGUCUGUCGUUAACUGAAGUCUGUCCCAGUCUUCAGGAGAUCAGAUAUGACUGCAUAGAAAGUGGUGGCUUGUUGUUUGAGGAGGUAGAAAAUAUUCUGCUGAGCUCUCAGAUGGAUUCAGAUUGCAGGAUAAUUAUCACAGGGUCUGUCCUAUAAAAUUAUUUAACCAUU